UACGUAGGGUGCAAGCGUUGUCCGGAAUUAUUGGGCGUAAAGAGCUCGUAGGCGGUCUGUCGCGUCGGCUGUGAAAACCCGGGGCUCAACCCCGGGCCUGCAGUCGAUACGGGCAGACUAGAGUGCGGUAGGGGGAGACUGGAAUUCCUGGUGUAGCGGUGAAAUGCGCAGAUAUCAGGAGGAACACCGGUGGCGAAGGCGGGGUCUCUGGGGCCGUAACUGACGCUGAGGAGCGAAAAGCGUGGGGAGCGAACAGG
rnacentral:rRNA from 1 species